rnacentral:piRNA from 1 species
UCAUUUCAUUGAAGCAAAAAU